rnacentral:rRNA from 1 species
UACGAAGGGGGCUAGCGUUGCUCGGAAUUACUGGGCGUAAAGCGCACGUAGGCGGCUCUUUAAGUCGGGGGUGAAAUCCUGGAGCUCAACUCCAGAACUGCCUUCGAUACUGUAGAGCUUGAGUUCGGGAGAGGUGAGUGGAACUGCGAGUGUAGAGGUGAAAUUCGUAGAUAUUCGCAAGAACACCAGUGGCGAAGGCGGCUCACUGGCCCGAUACUGACGCUGAGGUGCGAAAGCGUGGGGAGCAA